CUUUAGCUGUAAGAACGUUUCCAACUAUUCUGCGAGUGGCUUUAUUUUAAUAGUGUGAUAGAAUAUCCGUAAAAAGUGAUUUUAUUAAUGAUUAAUCAGUGUCAUUACCAAAAUAACAUGUAUUUAACCAUCUUGUUCGUGGCUGUGAGUUUAAAGAUUUUACUGAAUUGAACUUAUUUGAUGGCGUAACAACGAGUUUCGAUACUGAUGUACUGCAGUAGAAUGGAGGUGUUGAUAG